UCUAGUUCACGUGAAGCAGGGCCUGGGUGGGAAGAGACCUGUUGUGAAGGGUGCUGAUCUAGAUCUGACCUGCUGUGGAGGUGCUGGAGGACAGCCCUCAGAUAAGAUGCUUUGGGCCUCUGGGAAGCCACUUCCUGGACGGUCCUCUGCUGUUCCUCUCCUGUGUGACGUCCGACCAUGGCACCUAGUGGUCGGCUACUCCAGUGCUGGGCUAUUAUGGGCUAGAUGAAAACAAGAUACAAUGUAAUCCGGUUGUCGAGAUUCAUUUGCCUGAAGAAACACAGUACCCUUCCAUGGGAGCUGCACUUUUCUGGGGGGUCUGGGCUGGGCCUCCUUUUAGAUGAAGACUGCUUCUCCAUGUCAUGGCUCUCGCUUGCUGGUUUUGCUCAGGCCAACAGCUGGUCUGCAGCUGCCCAUCUGUUGGCCCAGUUCCAGGCCGACAGGGAUGACUUGAUGGUAGGAAGCUGUGCCAUAGCCAUUGGGGCUGUAGCCCCCCUCAAAUGGCCCAGUGUCUCCUUAGAAACCAGCCACUGCCUAGCACCUUCCCUCGAUGACUUAAUGUGACUGGAGUGUGGAUUUUGGCAGGUGAACACCAUGCACCAAACUCAUACGUGGCAACCUGGGGACCACCCAGCCCUGAAGAGCUGGCUUGCCACACUCUGGGAAGAUGGAGUAGUGUCUGGUGCUUAACGGAACACCAGAUGCUUUUGAUAGGCCAUCACAGCAAGAUCUGAGGAAGAGGUAAGACAGACUGAUUGACAUGCACAUAUGGAUGAUGCUGGGCUCAGACUUGAGUCCGCUCAGAUGCACUAGUUAUCUCCGAGCUUCGGGCUCUGUGUCUUUGUUCAAAUGGGGACUCUCAUUUUCGGGGUUCUAUAGAAAUGAAUGACAAAGGGAUAGUUCGCUUGUGCCCAUAAACAAAUGCCCCACAGGAGAGCUGCCUAUCCUCCCUUGUGGUUAUCACGAUGCACUCUGGGGUGGGCACCUGUAAUUCUCAUCUCAUAACCACAGAAACAACAAAUGGUACUCAAGAGCAGGCUUGUCCACCGUCCCCCUCAAAGGAGGAAUUUACUCUUCAAAGUCUACAGCCCCCUCCUCCAUCCUUCUCUGUCUCUUUCACCUCCCUACCCGUGUUUCAAAGACAUUCUAGAGCUUUCUGUCAGGCAUUGUGGGAAAACCAUGCCUCCUGGAGCUCAUCUACCCAGAUCCUUUUUGACCGAUCUGUGAACGUUGUCUGUUGGGAAGGUCUAGUAGCAAGAGGCUAGCUACUCAACGGGACAGCAUAAUUUUCUUAUUAAAACUGAGUUCUGCCA